AUGGCCCUGCAGGUCGCCGGCGGCGCGGGAUGUUGUGGCUGCCUCCCGCUCCUCGGCCAGCGGCGAACAGCAGCGUUUCGCCCGCCCCGCGCGGUGGCGUCCGAGGGCGCGGCGGUGGAGGACGGCAGCAAGGUGAUGCUGGGCGGGUCCGGCGUGGCGGUGACCAAGCUUGGCAUAGGGGCCUGGUCCUGGGGCGACACCACCUACUGGAACGACUUCGAGUGGGACGAUAGGAAACUCAAGGAUGCCAAAGGAGCAUUCGAUGCGAGCGUUGAUAGUGGAAUAACCUUUUUUGACACUGCGGAAGUAUAUGGUGCAGGGGUAUCGGGAGCGAUAAAUUCAGAAAGUCUACUAGGAAGAUUUAUCAAGGAAAGGAAAGAAAAAGAAGGGGUCGAGGUGGCCAUUGCAACAAAAUUUGCCGCUCUUCCAUGGAGGUUUGGCAAGGGAAGUGUAAUUUCUGCACUAAAGGGCUCACUUUCCCGCCUUGGUGUCUCCUCGGUUGAGUCAUACCAACUUCAUUGGCCAGGGAUAUGGGGCAACGAAGGUUACCUCGACGGCCUUGCUGAUGCUUAUGAACAAGGUCUUGUAAAAUCCGUUGGAGUCUCAAACUACAGUGAGAAACGUCUGCGAGAUGCUCACGAGCGCCUCAAGAAGAGGGGGGUUCCACUUGCUUCAAACCAAGUAAAUUACAGUCUGAUUUACAGGAACCCUGAGGAAAAUGGGGUGAAGGCAGCUUGUGAUGAGCUUGGGAUUACUUUGAUUGCAUAUUCCCCAAUAGCCCAAGGUGCUUUGACAGGAAAAUACACUCCAGCUAAUCCACCAACUGGACCUCGUGGACGGAUAUACACUUCUGAUUUCCUGUCCAAGCUCCAACCGCUUAUUAACAAGAUUAGGGAGAUUGGAGGAAGCUAUGACAAAACCCCAACUCAGGUGGUUCUUAACUGGCUUAUUUGCCAGGGCAACGUGAUUCCGAUCCCGGGGGCAAAGAACGCAGAGCAGGCCUGGGAGUUUGCCGGUGCGCUAGGGUGGCUCUUGACGGAGCAGGAGGUUGAGGAGCUGCGGUCCAUGGCGCGCGAGGUGAAGCCCGUCAUGGGUUUCCCGGUAGAGAAGCUGUAA
rnacentral:rRNA from 1 species